AUGCGGAGGGUGCAAGCGUUAUUCGGAAUCACUGGGCGUAAAGGGUGCGUAGGCGGUUUGAUAAGUCUGAUGUGAAAUCCUAUGGCUCAACCAUAGAACUGCAUUGGAAACUGUCAGACUAGAAUACUGAAGGGGCAGAUGGAAUUAGUGGUGUAGGGGUAAAAUCCGUAGAUAUCACUAAGAAUACCGAAAGCGAAAGCGAUCUGCUGGGAAGUUAUUGACGCUGAGGCACGAAAGCGUGGGGAGCAAACGGGAUUAGAAACCCUUGUAGUCC
rnacentral:rRNA from 1 species